UACGUAGGAUGCGAGCGUUGUCCGGAAUUAUUGGGCGUAAAGAGAACGUAGGUGGUUUCCUAAGUUCGGUCUUAAAGACCGGGGCUCAACCCCGGGAAUGGACUGAAGACUGGGAGACUCGAGGACGUCAGAGGAAAGUGGAAUUCCCAGUGUAGCGGUGAAAUGCGUAGAUAUUGGGAGGAACACCAGUGGCGAAAGCGACUUUCUGGGACGUUCCUGACACUGAGGUUCGAAAGCUCGGGGAGCAAACAGG
rnacentral:rRNA from 1 species